ACCUACAAGUUUGAUAGGAACUCCAACGACUAUGACACCAGUGAGAAAAAACGCAAGCCUGCAUGGACCGAUCGCAUCCUGUGGAGGCUGAAGCGGCAGCCCUGUGCUGGCCCCGACACUCCCGGACCACCGGCGUCACACUUCUCCUUGUCUCUGAGGGGCUACAGCAGCCACAUGAUGUAUGGCAUCAGCGACCACAAGCCUGUCUCCGGCACGUUCGACUUGGAGGUGAACUUCUGGGCUGCCUGAUACCUGCCAGAGGAAUAGCUAUGCUGGCCACAUCCCCAAGCCCUCCAUCCCUGGAUUCGAAUGUCAGCCAGUCCCCCAGGGGAGACCUGUGGAGGCCAUGAUUGCCUUUCCUGCCAGGUCGGAUAUCCCAGCUCCUCUUAGGAGCCGUUGAUGGCUC
rnacentral:sRNA from 1 species